UGGCUCAGGAUGAACGCUGGCGGUCUGCUUAACACAUGCAAGUCGAACGGAACUCUUCGGAGUUUAGUGGCGGACGGGUGAGUAACGCGUGAGAAUCUGCCUUCAGGUUGGGGACAACAGUUGGAAACGACUGCUAAUACCCAAUGUGCCGAGAGGUGAAAGCUUUAGUGCCUGAGGAUGAGCUCGCGUCUGAUUAGCUAGUUGGAGUGGUAAUGGCACACCAAGGCGACGAUCAGUAGCUGGUCUGAGAGGAUGAUCAGCCACACUGGGACUGAGACACGGCCCAGACUCCUACGGGAGGCAGCAGUGGGGAAUUUUCCGCAAUGGGCGCAAGCCUGACGGAGCAAGACCGCGUGAGGGAGGAAGGCUCUUGGGUUGUAAACCUCUUUUAUCAGGGAAGAAGAUCUGACGGUACCUGAUGAAUCAGCAUCGGCUAACUCCGUGCCAGCAGCCGCGGUAAUACGGAGGAUGCAAGCGUUAUCCGGAUUUAUUGGGCGUAAAGCGUCCGCAGGUGGUUUUUCAAGUCUGCUGUUAAAGCGCGAGGCUUAACCUCGUACAGGCAGUGGAAACUGAAUGACUAGAGUAUGGUAGGGGUAGCGGGAAUUCCCAGUGUAGCGGUGAAAUGCGUAGAUAUUGGGAAGAACACCAGCGGCGAAAGCGCGCUACUGGGCCAUUACUGACACUCAUGGACGAAAGCUAGGGGAGCGAAAGGGAUUAGAUACCCCUGUAGUCCUAGCGUAAACGAUG
rnacentral:rRNA from 1 species